rnacentral:rRNA from 1 species
GACGAACGCUGGCGGCGUGCUUAACACAUGCAAGUCGAGCGGUAAGGCCCUUUCGGGGGUACACGAGCGGCGAACGGGUGAGUAACACGUGGGUGACCUGCCCUCAGCUCUGGGAUAAGCCUGGGAAACCGGGUCUAAUACUGGAUAUGACUCCAUGACGCAUGUUGUGGGGUGGAAAGCCUUGUGCGGCUGAGGAUGGGCCCGCGGCCUAUCAGCUUGUUGGUGGGGUGAUGGCCUACCAAGGCGACGACGGGUAGCCGGCCUGAGAGGGCGACCGGCCACACUGGGACUGAGACACGGCCCAGACUCCUACGGGAGGCAGCAGUGGGGAAUCUUGCGCAAUGGGCGAAAGCCUGACGCAGCGACGCCGCGUGAGGGAUGACGGCCUGU